CAGCACCGCAGCAGCCUGAUGCCCCAGAAGAAAAACCCUGACGGCUUGGAGCAUCCAGAGCAAGUGUGCUGGGCUCCUGAUGACCCUCAAGAAACUUCCAGCACCUAUAACAAAGACUUACAGGCGCGAAACUGGGGUCGGUUGCCGGCGGAGGCCUGCUGCUUAUAUACCACGUGCCAGUUCUCGGGGCUCUGGCACACCCAGGCAGGGCCCCCUGGGACUCCCAUACCUCCUCCCAUCCUAUGCACACAGCCCCAUCCGUGGCUGCCCUUGGAGCUUUCAGCCCUUCCUUUAUUGGGAUACUGAGUGUUCUUUCCAUGACAAGGAAGCUGUGUUUGAUGUGUCAGACACCAUGAGUGCCGUGUUCCAGGGGGACACUGGCGUCAUCUCUAUGCUGCAGGUAAGACACCACCCACCUACCUCUCCUCCCCUACAUCCCAGGCACUGGAGUGGGCAUGCCAGGAGGGUGACCUUGGAAGGAGGCGAGGUGGGGCUGGAGCACCUGGGGCAGGGAAGGAGAGGUGUGCUGGCUCCUGCUCCUGGGGAACAGGAAAGGGACAGAAACUGCUGCCACACAAUGGAAGUAGAUAAGACUCAAGGGGCGUGGGGCUCAUCAACAGACCUGACCAGAACCCUUUUAAAAAAAAGAAAAUUUAUAUAAAAGUCCAGUGUGGUGGCUUAUGCCUGGAAUCCCACACUUUGGGAGGCCAAAGCAGGUGGAGCACUUGAGGUCAGGGGUUUGAGACCAGGCUGGCCAACAUGGUAUAACCAUAUCUCUGCUAAAAAUAUGAAAAUUAGCCGAGCGUGGUGGCCCACACUUGUAAUCCCAGCUACUCAGGAGGCUGAGGCAAGAGAAUUGCUUGAACCUGGGAGAUGGAGGUUGUAGUGAGCCAAGAUCAUGCCACUGCACUCCAGCCUGGACGACAGUGAAACUCCCUCUUCAACUAGGUAAAUAAAUUAAAUAUCUAAAAAAAUUACUUUUUAGAGACAAGGUCUCUCUCUGUCACUGGCUGGAGUGCAGUGGUGCAGUCAUAGCUCACUGCAGCCUUGAACGCCUGGGCUCAAGUGAUCCUCCCACUUCAGUCUCCAGAGUAGCUGGGCCUGCAGGUGUGCACCACCACACCUGGCUAAUUGUUUUAUUUUUGUAGAGACAAGGUCUCCCUAUGUUUCCUAGGCUGGUCACAAACUCCUGGCCCCAAGCCAUCCUUCCACCUUCAUCUCCCAAAGUGCAGGGAUUACAGGCAUGAGCUACUUUGCCUGGCUGACUUCUUUUAAAAUCAAUUAUUAUGGGAAAUUUCUGAAUAUAACAGCUAGAGAAUGCAUAAUGAACCCUAUGUACCCACACCCAGCUUCAACAAUAAUCAACGCAGACAUUCUGGCUCCAGCUGUCUUUACCCACGGCUGGAACCAGGGGGCUCCUUCAUCCCUUUAUUAUUUCAAAGCAAAUUCCCAUCAUCACAUCAUUUCAUUCCUAAAUAAUUCAAGAUGUGUCUUGAAAUCAGUGUUUUUUUUGGCUGGGCAUGGAGGCUCACGCCUGUAAUCCCAUCACUUUGGGAGGCUAAGGUGGGCAGAUCACUUGAGGUCAGGGGUUCAAAACCAGCCUGGCCAAUGUGGCGAAACCCUGUCUCUACUAAAAAUAUAAAAAUUAGCUGGGCAUGGUGACAUAAGCCUGUAGUCCCAGCUACUCAGGAGGCUGAGGUAGGUGAAUCGCUUGAAUCCAGGAGGCAGAGGCUGCAGUGAGCCAAGAUCACACUACUGCACUCCAGCUUGGGAAACAGAGUGAGACUCCAUCUCAAAACAAACAAAUGAAAAGCCCAAAACAACAACAACAAAUUAGCAGGGCAUGGUAGCGUGCGGGCCUGUAGUCCCAGCUACUUGGAAGGCUGAAGCUGGAAGAUCACUUGAACCUGGUAGGUCCAGGCUACAGUGAACUAUGAUGACCACUGCACUCCAGCAUGGGCAACAGAGCAAGACCCUGUCUCCUAAAAAAGAAAACAAAGCCUCCUGGAACUUCCGAUGCCUGCUAAAAAUCAGGACUCUGAAAACAUAAAGGCCAGUAAAACAUACAGGCCAGUAAGCAUUAAUAGCACACCUAAUACUAUCAAUAGUUAUGAGAAGAUGGUUCAAGCUGAGAGUGAGACAGCUAAUCUGCCCAAGGCAGGGAUAUUCUGGCAGAUGGGCAGGUCCUGGGCUCAUAGUUGUAAUCAGAGGAGGAGGAGGAGGAGGAGGAGGAACAGCCAGGUGGGAUGGCUCACACCUGUAAUCGGAAGAGGAGAAGGAAAAGAGGAGAAGGAGGAAGAAUAGCCAGGCACGGUGGCAGUGCACACCUGUAGUCCAGGAUACUCUGGAGGCUGAGGCAGGAGGAUCACUUGAACCCAGGAGGUGGUUUCGGUGAGCCAAGAUCGCACCAUUGCACUCCAGUCUGGAUUGAAAAAAUAACUGAAACAUUUAUCUAUUUUCCUAGCUGAUCCCUCCCAAAUUCAGAAACAUCGUGCCUAAAAUCUUUUUUUUUUUUUUUUUAAGACAGAGUCUCACUCUGUUGCCCAUGCUGGCGUGCAGUGAGACACUCUCAGUUCACUGCCACCUCUGCCCCUCCCGGUGAUUUUUGUGCCUGAGACUCCAGAGUAGCUGGGAUUACAAGCAUGAGCCACCAUCCCUGGCUAAUUUUUGUAUUUUUAGUAGAGACGGGGUUUCACUAUGUUGGUCAGGCUGGUCUCAAACUCCUGACCUCAGUUGAUCCACCCAUCUCGGUCUCCCAACAUGAGCCACCGCACCCAGCCUCAUAAAGUCUGACUUAAGGAACUAAGGUUGACUUUAUGGAGCCACUACUUACAAAGCCUUCUGGGGAAUAUUGUGCUGGUACCUGGCUUGCAGGUUUCCUAGCCUUACAUGUGAAUGAGGAGGAUCACUUCCUGGAAGUCCCAGGAACCUUGGGAUAUUUGGGGCACCUUGAGAUGAGAGGAGUUUAUCUGAAUCUGUCACAUCCUAUCCUCAAGAGAUUUUUAAUAGUCAAACUCAAAAUUUCUUAUGAUAAGUUCCAGUAAAGAGGCCAGGCAUGGUGGCUCACGGUCUGUAAUCACAGCAUUUUGAGAAGCCCAGGUGAGUGGAUCACUUGAUCAGGAGUUGGAGACCAGCCUGGCCAACAUGGUGAAACUCCUGAAGCAGGAGAAUCACUUGAACCUGGUAUGUGGAGAUUGCAGCGAGCCAAGAUGGCACCACUGCACUCCAGCCUGGGUAGACAGUUAAACUGUCUCAAAAAAAAAAAAAAAAAAAAGAAAUUACUUAAGCAGAUAGUGAUGGGUAAAGCAGUCCUUGGCAAGCCUCCCUUUUAACAAAACGCAGCCCAAAUCAUUUCUUUUUUUAACAAAGAGCAGCCUGAAAAACUGAGCUGUAGACAUAAAUAAGCAAACUGUUAGCUUCACGAACGGAUGCCAGCAGCUGUGCCAAUAGGAAAGGCAAACUGGAAGCCAGGUGUGUGCAACAGGGGGACUCCAUCUUCCCUUUUCUUUUUCACCACGUGUACAGUGAAGAACCAGGCAACACUGGCCAGCCGAGGUGGCUCACACCUAUAAUCCCAGCACUUUAGGAGGCCAAGGCGGAUCAUUUGAGGUCAGGAGUGCAAGACAAGCCUGACCAACAUGGUGAAACCCCGUCUCUACUAAAAAUACAAAAAUUAGCCAGUCAUGAUGGCAGACGCCUGUAAUCUCAGCUACUCAGAGGCUGAGGCAGGAGAAUUGCUUGAACCUGGCAGGCAGAGGUUGCAAUGAGCCAAGAUUGCACCACUGCACUCUAGCCUGGGCAACAGAGCAAGACUCCAUCUCAAAACAAACAAACAAGACAUCUGGCCAGGAGGGGCAGCUCACACCUUUAAUCCCAGCACUUUGGGAGGCCAAGGUGGGUGGAUCAUGAGAUCAGGAGUUCGAGACCAGCCUGACCAACAUGGAGCAAUCCUGUCUCCACUAAAAAUACAAAAAAGAAAAGAAAAGAAGAAAAGAAAGGGAAGUACAAUUGGAAGAGACCCAAGAGGGCACUGAGGUCAAGUGUGGUAGUUAACCUUGAUCCUCGGACUUUACAGACUGGACUCGUUCCCACGAUUCCUUCCUUAGGGUGGGCUGCUGCAGUGGGCAGGGGAGCACCUGCCAUGUGUUUAGAAACUUGUGUGCAUGCCCAUCUGAGACUAUCUUCCCUUUUCUGGUGGUGUACCCCCAGAAGGUCAUACUCCCCUAUUUCGUCUUUUUUUUUUUUUUUUUUUUUAGAUGAAGUCUUGCUCUGUCACCCAGGCUGGAGUGCAGUGGUGCGAUCUCAGUUCACUGCAACCUCCACCUUCCGGGUUCAAGUGGUUCUCCUGCCUCAGCCUCCUGAGUAGUUGGGAUUAUAGGUGCCUGCCACCACGCCCAGCUAAUUUUUGUAUUUUUAGUAGAGAAGGGGUUUCACCAUGUUGGCCAGGCUGGUCUUCAACUCCUGACCUCAUGAUUCACCCAUCUUGGCCUCCCAAAAUGUUGGGAUUACAGGCAUGAGCCACCACGCCUGGCCCAUUUUGUCUCUUAAUGCACAUGGCUGGGCUUACUCGUGCAAUACCUGACAUUUUAUUGGAAGCCCCUUUUUGCUUCUCCCUGGGGCCUGCAUUCAAUUCACACUUUAAUGCAACAGGUGUGAACCAUCAGGCAAUGGUCUCUCCCUGGCACCAGCUGCCAAUUUAUCACUUUUUUUUUUAAGACAAGGGUGGCUCUUUCACCCAGGCUUGAGCGCAGUGGCAUGAUAUCACUGCAACCUCCACCUCCUGGAUUCAGGCAAUUCUCCUGCCUUGGCCUCCUGAGCAGCUGGGACUACAGGCAUGCACCACCAUGCCCAGCUAAUAUUUUUGUAUUUGCAGCAGAUUCAGCGUUUCAUUAUGUUGGCAGGUCUCCAUCUCCUGACCUCAAGUGAUCCACAUGCCUCAGCCUCACAAGGUGCUGGGAUUACAGGUAUGAGCUACCUUGCCUGGCCAAUUUAUCCCUUUAGAGAGGCAAUGAGAUGAUUGCCAAACCAUCCCCUGAUAUUCCUAGGGAGCAGGGGAAGAGCCCUCCUGCCCUGCUCAUGCCUAUUCUAUCUACUGUCCCAGCUUUGCCUGAUGCAGCUCCCAGCUUGGCUUUCCCCUUUGGCUUAGUGAUUUGUUGGCAGGGGUGGGGGAUCCCAAGAUUUUUGUUCCUUUCACAAAGGCAAAAAGCUACUCAGGAGGCAGAAGCAGAAAAAUCACUUGAACCUGGGAGAGGGAGGUUGCAGUGAGCCGAGAUCAUGCUACUGCACUCCAGCCUGGGCAACAGAGCAAGACUCCAUCUCAAAAACAAAAAAGCAUGAAUCUAGAGGCCAGGCGUGGAGGUCUGUAAUCUCAGCAUUUUGUGAGGCCAAGGUGGGAGGAUCAUGUGAGCCCAAAAGUUCGAGAGCAGCCUGGGCAACAUGGGUAAACCCUACCUCUACCAAAAACAAAACAAAACAAAACUUAGCCAGGCAUGGGGUGGCAUGCACCUGUGGCCCCAGCUACUCAGGAGGCUUAGACAGGAGGAUCUCUUGAGUCUGGGAGGCAGAGGUUGCAGUGACCCUUGAUCGAGUCACUGCACUCUUGCCUGAGUUACAGCAUCAGAAAAAAAUUAAAAUAACCUUUUAAAAAAAGGCGUGACUCUCAAGCUUCUUUCUUUUUUCUUUUCUUUUUUUCUUUUUCUUUUUUUUUUUUAGUUGUUUUUAUAUUAGGGAAAAAGGAACAAGAAGAGGGCUGAGGUUGGGAGGGGACUGGUGACCACAGACAUCUGGGUGUCGGCGUGAGUCCAAGGAGGUUGCCAAUUGCUGCCCAAGGCUGGAGUGCAAUGGUGAAACUUCUGCUUCCAGGGUUCAAGCGAUUCUCCUGAAUAGCUGGGAUUUCAGUCUCCUGCCACCAUGUCUGGCUAAUUUUUCUAUUCUUAGCAGAGACAAGGUUUCACCAUAUUGACCAGGCCGGUCUUGAACUCCUGACCUCAGGUGAUCCGCCCACCACGGCCUCCCAAAGUGCUGGGAUUACGGGCCUGUGGCGCCUGGCCAGAGGUUGCCAAACUUCUUUGUCCUUGGUCAGGUCACAGUUGUCCUCUACAUCUUUAACACAACCUUGUAAUUAAUACUCGUGUACCCCCUCCUUCUCUCCUUGGAUGCUAGUUUGAUGAAGGGACUAUUGUCAUCCUUCCUUCCAAGUUAAACUAUAAAUUUCUCCCAUAGAUAGCUUGACCCAUGAGCAAGGAUGAGCAAAGGCAGUGGCUUGUGAGGUCAGAAGCAAGAUGGAGUCACCUAUGUUAGAUUUCACUCUCUGUUACAAUAAGCCCUUCUCCAGGACCCAGAAUGGGGACCUGGAUGGGAUCAGGCACCUGGGAACCAAGAUGAGGUGAUAGAUCAAGGUGAGGCAAGGGAAAGAAAACUGAUCCCUGGGCUGGGCGAGAUGGCUCAUGCCUGUAAUCCCAGCACUUUGGGAGGCCAAGGCAGCUAGAUCACCCGAGGUCAGGAGUUUGAGACCAGCCUGACCAACAUGGUGAAACCCUUGUUUCCACUAAAUACAAAAAAUUAGCUGGGCCUGGUGGCGGGAACCUGUAAUCCCAGCUACUUGGGAGACUUAGGCAAAACAAUCACUAGAACCCAGGAGGUGAAGGUUACAGUGAGCUGAGAUUGUGCCAUUGCACUCAAGCCUGGGCUACAGAGUGAACUGAAAGAAGGAAAGAAAGAAAGAGAGAAAGAGAGAGGGAAGGAAGGAAGGAAAGAAAGGAAAAACAAAAGAUAGAGAGAGAGAGGGGGGGAGAGAGAGAGAGAGAGAGAGAGAGAGAGAGAGAGAGAGAGAGAGAACUGGAACAUACCUGAAGAGAAAGAGAAAGAGGGAGAAUAUUGGACCCUGGAAUCAACAUUCCCUGAUGUGUUCUUGCCAAAGGCUUCUGCUGGGAGGGCAUACAGAGACCACUGGAAAAGGAUUUUACAGAGCAGGUGGAGGUGUGGCCCCAUCAGGAGACCCAGGCUUCCACUCCAGCUGACAGUUCUUGCUGUGCGACUAGGACAACUUUCUGAGUGUCAGUUUCCUUAUCUAACUACAGGGGAAUGAAGAAUGAA